GUAGACCAAUGGCUUGUUUAUUCCCCUCAAUUAAUUCUGUGUGCACUACUUCCACUGUUCCAUGCUUAUUGCUACAGGAAAGCUAUGACUUCUGACCCGGGCAAAACCUAUUGUCGUGACGACAAGGACAAGACAUGGCAUCCUGCUGGUUCCAGCUGGAGGAACAGUGAUUGCAUGGACUGCACUUGUAAUUCAUGCUGCUCGGGGUACAACUUUAUACUAUCACCUACAAAAUGCAUGGUCUAUGUAGCCCUCAGCCUUCCCAGUCUGUAUCUAUCACACUGAAAGAAUAUACUGCCCAUUGUUAUCUUCUCAAAAUAUCCACACGGUUUCUCAGGGGUUUAUUAAUAGACUGGAUGAGUGAAAUUCUAUUGAUUUACACAACAAAAUGAUUUGCUGAUGUUGAUUGUUUGAUUGCAGGUAUAUGACUCCCGUAGAUUUUCCUGAUGAUUGCACGAAGGAGUGGGACCAAAAGGUGUGUGAAUUCAAGGUGGUUAAGAAGAGGGAUCCCUCCAUUUCAUGCCCUAUCUUCGCCUCUGUGGGGAAGUUAAUUGUUUACUUCGCUGUGUUCUCAGUAUACAAUGAAUCAAAUAUGUUGUCAACUUACUUUGUGUCAAAUGUGAAUGUUCUGGUGUCUGACGAAUUGGAUUGGUUGAAAUGAAAUGGUAAAAACAUCAUGAUACAAAUUAAAAAUAAAGAUACGUGUUAGUGUGCAA